GUGUAAACAUGAGGAAGAGGGUGCAGUUGUUUAAUGGUAGAGUGGAGGGAGAACAUUGGAUGGGGCACUUUGAAGGGGAUGCUGGAAUGUGUGUAAUCGUGUCUAAAUGAGAGGCUUGCCACUGCGCCGGGUUAGUCUGGCUGACACCAGCUCUCGAAGUCCUACUAACUUGAGUGUAGAAAGGCUGCUUUGAUGUGCUGGCACAAAGCAUUGAUGAUGAAGGACUGUUCCCGAAGACUUCAAGACGGCACCCUACGCUGACCCAGACAGCCCAGGAAAGUUGAGGGAGGGAGAGAGACUGUCUGGUUGCACACUGUUCCUGAAUGAAGAUGGGUGCUCUCCAGUGAAUUUAGACUUCCUUGUCAUAGAACAGACCUCAUAGAAUGGACCUCACAAAUUCACAACCAGACCUCACCAGUCAGGCCCCGCAAACCAGACUGAACAAAACUAUUACUGGACAUUACAAUCUAGACCUCAUUAUCUGGAUUUCACAAUCCUUACUUCUUCAUCUGGAUUUUGCAAUCCAGAUUUCACAGCUUGGUCUUUGUAAACCAAACCUCACAAUCCAUAACCUGGACCUCACAACCUGGACCUGCAGUGUUGAUGCUGUAACCCAGCCUCAACGCACCACUUCCUCAGGCAACAAAGCGGCAAACCUGCCCAGUCUCACCUGAGGACUGCCCAGUCUCAAACCUGCCCAGUCCUCCACGUCAUAUUUCAUUUUUUUUCACUUAUUGGCUUUUUGUUGCUUUUGUUUCUUGUUACGGUCAUUUACAUUUAUUUACAUUUUGGCCAGUUUGGCUUCCAGGCCAGUGUCCCCACCACACAACUCUGAUGCUUCCACAGCAUCAUACCAUGCCUCCAAAUGGCUACAGUAGUCACUAGUGUUACUUGAACUUUGUCUUCUGUUACAUGCUACUGGGUCCUUCCAUGUCCCUGUCCGCAACAAAUUGUGCUUCAUUCUAGUAGUUUGUAAAUAGGUUCUCUAGAGGAUCCUCUUAAAUAAUGUGGUACAUGAUAUAUAGACACACAAUGCCAAUAGUGUUGUGUCAUCUAUACAUCCAGUCAGGCAGGAAUAGUCCCAUAUCUGAGCUGUUGGUACUAAUACUGACACGGUAUAACUGUCUAGCUGUAACCCGUAAUGGCUUUCACAGAUCUAAUGGCAGAGCAACUCUAUGUUGCUGUGGAUUUCUAACAUUUCUAUUUUGUAACAACGGAAAGUUGUCACUGGUACAGCAUUGUUACCAAGUAUGUGGUUGGAGCAUAUCAUAUCAACUCUUAGGGCUACAUUGUAACAGUCUCUUCCGUAGAGGCACCUCUGUAAAGGCUUGGAAGCCAGUAAAGUUGCUUGCGACAUUUUCAUUUUAUUUUUGCAGAAAAACAUGGACUGUAAUAGGUUCACACAAAAAAAGGGCAUAUUUUCUGUCAUACUUGCUGCUGAUGACUUUGACAAACAAUCUCUGUAAAUUAUUGAAUAUAUAACGUCAAUUGUUUGUUUUAAAAGUCAAGAUUAUUUAACAUGGUUUAUAUUGGUACUUUUUUGCUUUUUGAACUGAAACAUGUCCAAUAUUUUUGUAUUCCUUAUUAAUGGGAAAUCUGCUUCUUACAUAUAAUCCUAUAUAUUCCUGUCCACCUCAUGGGUUUUUGCUCUUUUGUUGAACAUUUUGAAUGUUGUUAAGUGGAUUCUAGGUACUACCCAUGUUAAACAAGAACCCCACUCCUCCAAACACGCACCAGCACCAUCCCAAUGGGCCUGUUCCUGAGAGCGUUAUACUCCUGUUUCUCUGUAACACUAUAGGCUACAGCUGUGUUGCUCUGUAAUUCUGUAGGCUGCAAUUGUGUAUUUUUCUAACUGGAUUGGCUGCAGUUGGGUCUAUCUGUAAUCUAAUAGGUUGUGUUCCCUGCGGCCACCAAACUUCACCUGAAUGCUACUUACGUGCAUGGGCAUAUUCAGUACUGUGUAGUUCCGAAACACAAUGUAGAAAACAAAUUGUGCUCUAUUCCUCAUAAUGGGGAACAGCAAGACGAGAUGAAGCUCAAACCUCUCCACCAACCCUGUCUUCCACUGUAAAUAAUGUGUUGUAAGACAACAGAUGAUAGAAAUAAUAAAUGGAUGGGUUGGAACGACUGAAUAGGACGUCAAUGUGAACAACAUUUAUGAGUGAAUGUUAUAUAAGAACUAUCAACUGAACAAUUGAAGAAUUAAUUAAUUAAUAAACGGAUGAAUGGAUGUACAAAUUAGCGGAUGAGUAAAUAAACGCAUUAAAGAAUGACAGGGAUAGCAAGAGCAUCAAUAUACUGUAGCAUGGGGCUUUGCAUUCUCAUUUACCCCCGUGCCCAU
rnacentral:lncRNA from 1 species